rnacentral:tRNA from 1 species
AGUGUCAAGGGAUGGGAAUCGAACCCACGACCUUCCGCUUACUGGGCAGAUGCCAUGACCACUAGGCCACAUGACC